AAAACGACUCUCGGCAACGGAUAUCUAGGCUCUCGCAUCGAUGAAGAACGUAGCAAAAUGCGAUACUUGGUGUGAAUUGCAGAAUCACGUGAACCAUCGAGUUUUUGAACGCAAGUUGCGCCCGAAGCCAUUAGGCUGAGGGCACGUCUGCCUGGGCGUCUC
rnacentral:rRNA from 1 species